rnacentral:rRNA from 1 species
UUAAGUUGCAGGGUAUAGACCCGAAACCCGGUGAUCUAGCCAUGGGCAGGUUGAAGGUUGGGUAACACUAACUGGAGGACCGAACCGACUAAUGUUGAAAAAUUAGCGGAUGACUUGUGGCUGGGGGUGAAAGGCCAAUCAAACCGGGAGAUAGCUGGUUCUCCCCGAAAGCUAUUUAGGUAGCGCCUCGUGAAUUCAUCUCCGGGGGUAGAGCACUGUUUCGGCAAGGGGGUCAUCCCGACUUACCAACCCGAUGCAAACUGCGAAUACCGGAGAAUGUUAUCACGGGAGACACACGGCGGGUGCUAACGUCCGUCGUGAAGAGGGAAACAACCCAGACCGCCAGCUAAGGUCCCAAAGUCAUGGUUAAGUGGGAAACGAUGUGGGAAGGCCCAGACAGCCAGGAUGUUGGCUUAGAAGCAGCCAUCAUUUAAAGAAAGCGUAAUAGCUCACUGGUCGAGUCGGCCUGCGCGGAAGAUGUAACGGGGCUAAACCAUGCACCGAAGCUGCGGCAGCGACGCUGAUGCGUUGUUGGGUAGGGGAGCGUUCUGUAAGCCUGUGAAGGUGUGCUGUGAGGCAUGCUGGAGGUAUCAGAAGUGCGAAUGCUGACAUAAGUAACGAUAAAGCGGGUGAAAAGCCCGCUCGCCGGAAGACCAAGGGUUCCUGUCCAACGUUAAUCGGGGCAGGGUGAGUCGACCCCUAAGGCGAGGCCGAAAGGCGUAGUCGAUGGGAAACAGGUUAAUAUUCCUGUACUUGGUGUUACUGUGAAGGGGGGACGGAGAAGGCUAUGUUGGCCGGGCGACGGUUGUCCCGGUUUAAGCGUGUAGGCUGGUUUUCCAGGCAAAUCCGGAAAACUAAGGCUGAGGCGUGAUGACGAGGCACUACGGUGCUGAAGCAACAAAUGCCCUGCUUCCAGGAAAAGCCUCUAAGCAUCAGGUAACAUCAAAUCGUACCCCAAACCGACACAGGUGGUCAGGUAGAGAAUACCAAGGCGCUUGAGAGAACUCGGGUGAAGGAACUAGGCAAAAUGGUGCCGUAACUUCGGGAGAAGGCACGCUGAUAUGUAGGUGAAGUCCCUCGCGGAUGGAGCUGAAAUCAGUCGAAGAUACCAGCUGGCUGCAACUGUUUAUUAAAAACACAGCACUGUGCAAACACGAAAGUGGACGUAUACGGUGUGACGCCUGCCCGGUGCCGGAAGGUUAAUUGAUGGGGUCAGCGCAAGCGAAGCUCUUGAUCGAAGCCCCGGUAAACGGCGGCCGUAACUAUAACGGUCCUAAGGUAGCGAAAUUCCUUGUCGGGUAAGUUCCGACCUGCACGAAUGGCGUAAUGAUGGCCAGGCUGUCUCCACCCGAGACUCAGUGAAAUUGAACUCGCUGUGAAGAUGCAGUGUACCCGCGGCAAGACGGAAAGACCCCGUGAACCUUUACUAUAGCUUGACACUGAACAUUGAGCCUUGAUGUGUAGGAUAGGUGGGAGGCUUUGAAGUGUGGACGCCAGUCUGCAUGGAGCCGACCUUGAAAUACCACCCUUUAAUGUUUGAUGUUCUAACGUUGACCCGUAAUCCGGGUUGCGGACAGUGUCUGGUGGGUAGUUUGACUGGGGCGGUCUCCUCCUAAAGAGUAACGGAGGAGCACGAAGGUUGGCUAAUCCUGGUCGGACAUCAGGAGGUUAGUGCAAUGGCAUAAGCCAGCUUGACUGCGAGCGUGACGGCGCGAGCAGGUGCGAAAGCAGGUCAUAGUGAUCCGGUGGUUCUGAAUGGAAGGGCCAUCGCUCAACGGAUAAAAGGUACUCCGGGGAUAACAGGCUGAUACCGCCCAAGAGUUCAUAUCGACGGCGGUGUUUGGCACCUCGAUGUCGGCUCAUCACAUCCUGGGGCUGAAGUAGGUCCCAAGGGUAUGGCUGUUCGCCAUUUAAAGUGGUACGCGAGCUGGGUUUAGAACGUCGUGAGACAGUUCGGUCCCUAUCUGCCGUGGGCGCUGGAGAACUGAGGGGGGCUGCUCCUAGUACGAGAGGACCGGAGUGGACGCAUCACUGGUGUUCGGGUUGUCAUGCCAAUGGCACUGCCCGGUAGCUAAAUGCGGAAGAGAUAAGUGCUGAAAGCAUCUAAGCACGAAACUUGCCCCGAGAUGAGUUCUCCCUGACUCCUUGAGAGUCCUGAAGGAACGUUGAAG